rnacentral:tRNA from 1 species
ACCUGGGUGGCUCAGUUGGUUAAGCAUCUGACUUCAGCUCAGGUCAUGAUCUCACGGUUUGUGGGUUCGAGCCCCGCGUCAGGCU